GUUGUUGGGUAGGGGAGCGUUCUGUAAGCCUGCGAAGGUGUGCUGUGAGGCAUGCUGGAGGUAUCAGAAGUGCGAAUGCUGACAUAAGUAACGAUAAAGCGGGUGAAAAGCCCGCUCGCCGGAAGACCAAGGGUUCCUGUCCAACGUUAAUCGGGGCAGGGUGAGUCGACCCCUAAGGCGAGGCCGAAAGGCGUAGUCGAUGGGAAACAGGUUAAUAUUCCUGUACUUGGUGUUACUGCGAAGGGGGGACGGAGAAGGCUAUGUCAGCCGGGCGACGGUCGUCCCGGUUUAAGCGUGUAGGCUGACCUUCCAGGCAAAUCCGGAAGGUUAAGGCUGAGGCGUGAUGACGAGGCACCACGGUGCUGAAGUGACAAAUGCCCUGCUUCCAGGAAAAGCCUCUAAGCAUCAGGUAACAUCAAAUCGUACCCCAAACCGACACAGGUGGUCAGGUAGAGAAUACCAAGGCGCUUGAGAGAACUCGGGUGAAGGAACUAGGCAAAAUGGUGCCGUAACUUCGGGAGAAGGCACGCUGACAUGUAGGUGAAGCCCCUGCGGGUGGAGCUGAAGUCAGUCGAAGAUACCAGCUGGCUGCAACUGUUUAUUAAAAACACAGCACUGUGCAAACACGAAAGUGGACGUAUACGGUGUGACGCCUGCCCGGUGCCGGAAGGUUAAUUGAUGGGGUUAUCGCAAGAGAAGCUCCUGAUCGAAGCCCCGGUAAACGGCGGCCGUAACUAUAACGGUCCUAAGGUAGCGAAAUUCCUUGUCGGGUAAGUUCCGACCUGCACGAAUGGCGUAAUGAUGGCCAGGCUGUCUCCACCCGAGACUCAGUGAAAUUGAACUCGCUGUGAAGAUGCAGUGUACCCGCGGCAAGACGGAAAGACCCCGUGAACCUUUACUACAGCUUGACACUGAACAUUGAGCCUUGAUGUGUAGGAUAGGUGGGAGGCUUUGAAGCGUGGACGCCAGUCUGCGUGGAGCCAACCUUGAAAUACCACCCUUUAAUGUUUGAUGUUCUAACCUGGCGCCGUGAUCCGGCGUGGGGACAGUGUCUGGUGGGUAGUUUGACUGGGGCGGUCUCCUCCCAAAGUGUAACGGAGGAGCACGAAGGUCAGCUAAUCCUGGUCGGACAUCAGGAGGUUAGUGCAAUGGCAUAAGCUGGCUUGACUGCGAGAGUGACGGCUCGAGCAGGUGCGAAAGCAGGUCAUAGUGAUCCGGUGGUUCUGUAUGGAAGGGCCAUCGCUCAACGGAUAAAAGGUACUCCGGGGAUAACAGGCUGAUACCGCCCAAGAGUUCAUAUCGACGGCGGUGUUUGGCACCUCGAUGUCGGCUCAUCACAUCCUGGGGCUGAAGUAGGUCCCAAGGGUAUGGCUGUUCGCCAUUUAAAGUGGUACGCGAGCUGGGUUUAGAACGUCGUGAGACAGUUCGGUCCCUAUCUGCCGUGGGCGCUGGAGAAUUGAGGGGGGCUGCUCCCAGUACGAGAGGACCGGAGUGGACGCAUCACUGGUGUUCGGGUUGUCAUGCCAAUGGCACUGCCCGGUAGCUAAAUGCGGAAGAGAUAAGUGCUGAAAGCAUCUAAGCACGAAACUUGCCCCGAGAUGAGUUCUCCCUGAGACUGUAAGUCUCCUGAAGGAACGUUGAAGACGACGACGUUGAUAGGCCGGGUGUGUAAGCGCAGCGAUGCGUUGAGCUAACCGGUACUAAUGAACCGUGAGGCUUAACCUU
rnacentral:rRNA from 1 species